rnacentral:rRNA from 1 species
CCUACGGGUGGCAGCAGUGAGGAAUAUUGGUCAAUGGGCGAGAGCCUGAACCAGCCAAGUCGCGUGAGGGAUGACGGUCCUAUGGAUUGUAAACCUCUUUUGUCGGGGAACAAAGGCGUCCACGUGUGGACUGAUGAGUGUACCCGAAGAAAAAGCAUCGGCAAACUCCGUGCCAGCAGCCGCGGUAAUUCGGAGGAUGCGAGCGUUCUCCGGAUUUAUUGGGUUUAAAGGGUGCGUAGGCGGACAGUCAAGUCAGCGGUAAAAUUGCGGUGCUAAACGCCGUACAGCCGUUGAAACUGGCAGUCUUGAGUGGGCGAGAAGUAUGCGGAAUGCGUGGUGUAGCGGUGAAAUGCAUAGAUAUCACGCAGAACUCCGAGUGCGAAGGCAGCAUACCGGCGCCCUACUGACGCUGAGGCACGAAAGCGUGGGUAUCGAACAGGAUUAGAUACCCGAGUAGUC